rnacentral:rRNA from 1 species
AUACGGAGGGUGCAAGCGUUACUCGGAAUCACUGGGCGUAAAGCGCGCGCAGGCGGUCUUUUAAGUUGGAUGUGAAAGCCUACGGCUCAACCGUAGAACUGCAUCCAAAACUAUUAGACUAGAGUGUGGGAGAGGAAGAUGGAAUUAGUUGUGUAGGGGUAAAAUCCGUAGAGAUAACUAGGAAUACCAAAAGCGAAGGCAAUCUUCUGGAACACUCCUGACGCUGAGGCGCGAAAGCGUGGGGAGCAAACAGGAUUAGAAACCCUAGUAGUCC